rnacentral:lncRNA from 1 species
CUGGAGAGUAUUUGAAGAGGGAGUGAAGCAGGAGUGGCUGGGGAGGAGCUCAGAGAUAAGAUCCCUAAGGCCUCAGGGCCCUAUCACCCUGAUGCCAGAUGCCCUGUGUGCCUAGCUGGUGAGAGUAAACUGAGCAUGCAGGAAAGAAUGAGUGUGUCCUGGAGAGGAGGUGACGUGUGUGGAUGCAUAGUAUUCAUCUUUUUAUUUUAGUUUUAUUAGUACAUGUUUGCAGUGCACAAUACACACACUUACCAUGGGAAGUUGAUGCGUGUACACAGCAUGUCCUGGUCCUCUUUAUUAUGUGAAAGUAAGAUUAGAUCUGUGUGUGGCCCCUGCUGCCUAUGAUGGCUGACAGCUGCCUCCUCUCUCUACCUACAGCUUCCUGCACCCCCAGGCCCUAAGGCGACCCUGGCCAGCUGCACCCAAUCAACCCCUAGCUGGAGUGCAUGCGGGGACCAGGACGGACAGGCUGCUGCUGCCCAGACCCCAAGACGUCUGUCUGUUUGCCUCCUGGUGCCAUCUGAUCCAGGUAGGGGACAACGAGGUGGCUCAGCAGCUUCAGGCUCUGCAGGGCAAGGGCCCAGGGUGCAAGGACCUUGGUGAGUGGCCCUGCGGGGCUCUGUGGGGACAUGGCUGAGACCUAAAGCCCCUGCAGCU